UAGGGAAUCUUCGGCAAUGGACGAAAGUCUGACCGAGCAACGCCGCGUGAGUGAAGAAGGUUUUCGUAUCGUAAAACUCUGUUGUUAGAGAAGAACAAGGACGUUAGUAACUGAACGUCCCCUGACGGUAUCUAACCAGAAAGCCACGGCUAACUCCCUGCCAGCAGCCGCGGUAAUACGUAGGUGGCAAGCGUUGUCCGGAUUUAUUGGGCGUAAAGCGUGCGCAGGCGGUUUCUUAAGUCUGAUGUGAAAGCCCCCGGCUCAACCGGGGAGGGUCAUUGGAAACUGGGAGACUUGAGUGCAGAAGAGGAGAGUGGAAUUACAUGUGUAGCGGUGAAAUGCGUAGAUAUAUGGAGGAACACCAGUGGCGAAGGCGGCUCUCUGGUCUGUAACUGACGCUGAGGCUCGAAAGCGUGGGGAGCAAACAGG
rnacentral:rRNA from 1 species